GCGCCACUGGCUCAACUGGUAGAGCAGCGGACUCUUAAUCCGCGGGUUGGGGGUUCGAGUCCCUCGUGGCGCA
rnacentral:tRNA from 2 species